UUGGAGGGCAAGUCUGGUGCCAGCAGCCGCGGUAAUUCCAGCUCCAAUAGCGUAUAUUAAAGUUGUUGCAGUUAAAAAGCUCGUAGUUGAAUUUCGGAAUCAAUGGGUUGGUCAUGCCCUCGGUAUGUACUGAUUUCAUUGGUUCUCACCUUCUAAGGAACCAUGAUGUCAUUCGUUUGAUGUUGUGGGGAAUUAGGACUGUUACCUUGAAAAAAUUAGAGUGUUUAAAGCAGGCUAACGCUUGAAUACAUUAGCAUGGAAUAAUGAAAUAGGACAUCCGAUUCUAUUUUGUUGGUUUCUAGGAUCGAUGUAAUGAUUAAUAGGGAUAGUUGGGGGCAUUAGUAUUCAAUUGUCAGAGGUGAAAUUCUUGGAUUUAUUGAAGACUAACUACUGCGAAAGCAUUUGCCAAGGAUGUUUUCAUUAAUCAAGAACGAAAGUUAGGGGAUCGAAGACGAUCAGAUACCGCCGUAGUCUUAACCAUAAACUAUGCCGACUAGGGAUCGGAUGAUGCUUAUUUUUUAAUGACUCAUUCGGCACCUUACGGGAAAC
rnacentral:rRNA from 1 species